rnacentral:rRNA from 1 species
AUUGAACGCUGGCGGCAUGCCUUACACAUGCAAGUCAAACGGUAACGCGGGGCAACCUGGCGACGAGUGGCGAACGGGUGAGUAAAGCAUCGGAACGUGCCCAGUAGUGGGGGAUAGCCCGGCGAAAGCCGGAUUAAUACCGCAUACGACCUAUGGGUGAAAGGGGGGGAUCGCAAGACCUCUCGCUAUUGGAGCGGCCGAUGUCAGAUUAGGUAGUUGGUGGGGUAAAGGCCUACCAAGCCGACGAUCUGUAGCUGGUCUGAGAGGACGACCAGCCACACUGGGACUGAGACACGGCCCAGACUCCUACGGGAGGCAGCAGUGGGGAAUGUUGGACAAUGGGCGCAAGCCUGAUCCAGCCAUGCCGCGUGCGGGAAGAAGUCCUUCGGGUUGUAAACCGCUUUUGUCAGGGAAGAAAUCCUUUGGGUUAAUACCUCGGGGGGAUGACGGUACCUGAAGAAUAAGCACCGGCUAACUACGUGCCAGCCGCCGCCGUAAAAC